rnacentral:rRNA from 1 species
AUGGCGGAGGCCAUCUUCUCGGCGGUCGUCGGCGACAUGGUGGGCAGGGUGAUCUCGCUUCUCGCCGGCCGCUUCAGCGACCAACAGAGCACCAGCAUCAAGCUGCAGAAGAUAAGUCCUAUGCUUGUCAGGAUUCACAGCGUGGUGGAGGAGGCCAAAGGGAGGCACAUCACAAACCAUGUGGCCCUCAAGUGGCUCUCGGAGCUCAACGACGGUGUGCACCAGGGUCGUUAUCUGCUCGACACGAUCAGGUGUGGAGAGCCGGAGCUUGAAGACGGGCAUGGUGGCAAGGUACCAGCAGCACAGCCUUUCUCUCUGUCCUUGUUUAAUCCUGCAAAGCGCGUGCGUGUCGCCACGAGCACCGUGGAGUGCAUACUGUCUCGCCAUGACGCCGGUGUCGAUGAGAUCGACACGGUGCUAGAGAGCUUGCAAAGCAUAUCUGGUGAUCUCCGGGAGUUCAUGAUGCUCCUGCAAGGCUGCAGGCGGAUCCGCCGCCCUUUGGCUACCAACAUAUUUGUGGACGGGCAGAUGUUCGGCAGACAUGUCGAAAAAGAAAGGAUCAUCAACUUCUUGCUUGACGACAGCGGUCCAUGCAUCACGGGGAACCUGCCUUUGCUCCCAAUUGUUGGUGACAUUGGAGCUGGGAAAACUACCUUGGUGCAGCACGUCUGCGAUGAUGCCAGGCUGCGCAACCGCUUCCCAAUAAUUAUGUUGUUUAAUUUCUCAUCUACCUACGCUAUGGCGACGGGUGGAGCAACUGUUGUUCUGAAAUCAAAACAUGUGAUCGGAGGGUCUGGAAAGCUUUAUCAUCCACUGCAAGUGCUCAACGAGAAUUUCCGCAAGAAGCGGUUCCUGAUGGUGUUUGAGGACGUUGACAUGCACAAGAAGCAGCAGCUGGAUGAGCUCUUGCCGAGCCUGAGACACACCAAACAGAAACAGGGGAGCAAGAUCAUACUCACCACCAACAACAGGCGUGUCGCAGCCAGCAUGGGGACAGUGGAGCCGAUCAAGCUGAAAGUUUUGCCACACCCAGAGUACUGGUUCUUCUUCAAGGCUCAUGCCUUUGCAGCCACAGACAUCGAGGAGAACCCGAGGCUGCUGGCGGUAGGCAAAGCCAUUGCAAGGAAGCUAAAUGGAUCAUUCUUCGGCGCGAAGAUUGUUGGAGGGGUGCUGAAAGCCCAUCCAAAUCUACAGCUCUGGUGUAAGAUCCUGAGAAGCAACAUUGGGGACCUGUCAUUGUUGGGUGAUGGCCUUGGGUACAUAGCAGAUUUGGCAGAAAAUCUGCUGCCAAGUCACGUAAAGAUGCGCCAGCUGAUUAUAUCCAAGAAACCGCUCUCCUCGACACAGCCCGAGUUUGCCAGGUUGCAUGAUAUGCUUCUGCCAAGCCCUGAUGCAGCAGCAGCAGACCAAGAAAGCUGGAGUGCGGAUGUUCGAAAUGCAAAAGUGUUGUUGUGCAGGUCAGUUAUGUCAUUCUUUUGCCUGGACUACAACGCUCAUUGCACUGUAAGUGGGCGAAACAGUUCAUCAGGAUCCACACAUUUCAAUCAUCGGGAACCCCGUGUUGUUGGGGAACUAAACCUUAUGUAUAGGAAUUCUGUGUGCUGA